GCGGGCGUAAUUCAAUGGUAGAAUCUUAGCCUUCCAAGCUAAUAAUGUGGGUUCGAUUCCCAUCGCCCGCU
rnacentral:tRNA from 1 species